GGUAGUGUAGCUGAGUGGUCUAAGGCACUGGAUUAAGGCUCCAGUCUCUUUUGGGGGCGUGGGUUCGAAUCCAACAGCUGCCA